AGUAAUUAUUAAUUUAAUUUAAUAGAUAUUUUCUCCCCGUGUAGGGACGGGCAGUAGAAUACAAUUUCCUACGGCCCGGCAAGAAGGCCUGUCGUAAGAGCCGACAAAAUUCUUGAGGUGGUAGGCUUCGGCCGUGGCUUAAUUACCACCCUCUGGGUAAAGUCGCGCCGCCAAACGGCAAUUGCCGUGUUCCGGGGCGGGUCCCAGAGCAGCCAUUUGGGGAAUGUGUUUGGGUAGUUGUGGCACUCUAUGUGACCGAUUCUGUCUGCUCAUCACUGCCGCAUCGGGUGCCUGGCUUCGGAGGGUAGCGGGAUCCGAGGCACGGUGCCGCCGCUGGCCGACCGUAGGAAGUUGGGGGCCCAAGUAGCAGGAAAGCCACCUGUGAAAGGCUGCCCCGCCACCUGACGAAAAAUCCCAGAAUGCUCUACCUUGCCG